rfam:Gossypium arboreum cultivar AKA8401 contig_7550_13, whole genome shotgun sequence.
AAGCUAUGGUGAGGGCACCUUCGCAAUAAAUCCUUGUAUCUCUCCCAUGCAUCGUAAAGUGUUUCGAAGUCCAUCUGCACAAAAGAAGAAAUACCAUUACGUAACUU